AACGAACGUUGGCGGCGUGGAUUAGGCAUGCAAGUCGAACGAGAACCCCGGGCAACCGGGGGGAAAGUGGCGAAAGGGGCAGUAAGGCGUGGGUAACCUACCUCGGGGACCGGGAUAGCCGCCCUAACGGGCGGGUAAUACCGGGCGAUGUGUCGGGGGGGCAUCUCCCUGGCAUGAGAUGAGUUUCGCCUCGCGAGGGGCCCACGUAGUAUUAGCUUGUUGGCGGGGUAACGGCCCACCAAGGCGAAGAUGCUUAGCGGGUGUGAGAGCACGACCCGCGCCACUGGCACUGAGACACUGGCCAGACACCUACGGGUGGCUGCAGUCGAGGAUCUUCGGCAAUGGGCGCAAGCCUGACCGAGCGACGCCGCGUGUGCGACGAAGGCCUUCGGGUUGUAAAGCACUGUCGAGGGGGAGGAAGCCGCAAGGUUGACCUAUCCCUGGAGGAAGCACGGGCUAAGUUCGUGCCAGCCGCCGCGGUAACAC
rnacentral:rRNA from 1 species